GCUUGUCUCAAAGAUUAAGCCAUGCAUGUCUAAGUAUAACUCUUUUACUUUGAAAACUGCGAACGGCUCAUUAUAUCAGUUAUAGUUUCUUUGAUAGUCCCUUACUACUUGGAUACCCGUAGUAAUUCUAGAGCUAAUACAUGCUGUAAAGCCCGACUUCUCGGAAGGGCCGUAUUUAUUAGAUAACAGACCAAUAUUCCUCGUGUCUAUUGUGGUGAAUCAUAGUAACUGAUCGGAUCGCAUGGGCUACGCCCGCGACAAACCAUUCAAGUUUCUGCCCCAUCAGCUUUCGAUGGUAGUGUAUUGGACUACCAUGGCUUUUACGGGUAACGGAGGAUUAGGGUUCGAUUCCGGAGAGGGAGCCUGAGAAACGGCUACCACAUCUAAGGAAGGCAGCAGG
rnacentral:rRNA from 1 species